AUUGGUGAAAAAUUGUGGCCAAUUUGCAUACUUGGGGAACUUCCAGGAUGCAGGUCCUUGCAAGUAUUUGUCCUGCCAUAUUCUCUGACGCUGGCUGCUUCCAACCAUUUCUUGGGGUGAUUGGAGUUCUGCACUGGGCCCAACCUCCUGCCUUUUUGCAUCAGGAAAAUGAUAUGCGUCACCAAUGCAGUUAGGGGCUCCAAGACAUGAAAGUGAGGACAAGCCUUCCAGACACAGUGUGACAGCCUGUUAAGA
rnacentral:lncRNA from 1 species